GGCGGACGGGUUAGUAACGCGUGGGAACGUACCCAGAUCUAAGGAAUAGCCACUGGGAACGGUGAGUAAUACCUUAUACGCCCUUCGGGGGAAAGAUUUAUCGGAUUUGGAUCGGCCCGCGUUAGAUUAGGUAGUUGGUGGGGUAAUGGCCUACCAAGCCUACGAUCUAUAGCUGGUUUUAGAGGAUGAUCAGCAACACUGGGACUGAGACACGGCCCAGACUCCUACGGGAGGCAGCAGUGGGGAAUCUUAGACAAUGGGCGCAAGCCUGAUCUAGCCAUGCCGCGUGAGUGAUGAAGGCCUUAGGGUCGUAAAGCUCUUUCGCCUGUGAUGAUAAUGACAGUAGCAGGUAAAGAAACCCCGGCUAACUCCGUGCCAGCAGCCGCGGUAAUACGGAGGGGGUUAGCGUUGUUCGGAAUUACUGGGCGUAAAGCGCAC
rnacentral:rRNA from 1 species